AACAGCCCCCUUUUUUCUCCCUAAACCAAACCACUCCCCUUCAACCAUCGCCGCCACCCCACCACGACCACGACCAUCGGACUGCGGAACCAAACACCCCACUCUCUCUUUAACCCAAAAUACUGAAAUCCAUUGGUUUGAGGCUUUCACCGCCUCCACUGCUACCACGUCUCUUUUCCCUUUGAGCCGAAAGGAGCCAGUAGGGGAUCAUAUCAACCUCUGUGGACUCUUAUUCGACCCGGUGGGUAAAGGCUCGUCAACUAUCAUACCCGCGAGAUUCGGAGUCCCAACGAAUCCACAGCCAUCAAAUCUUAUCUGGAAAGGUGAUUCUUUUCCUCCUGACAAUAAUUUUAUCACAAAGAAGGUUCAGGGACGCGGUCAGACAAUCUAGCCACCUAGGAGGAGUCAGCAUUGAGAGUCAGACAACUCCAUUUGCUUCGGAGAUUGUUCCUGUUUUGGUAUAGUUUUGCGUGUAUACAUUAUGGGCAUGACGGGGCCCUGUCCCGUCACUUAUGCACGGUCAUGCUUUUCUAGUAGUUUGCGGACAACUUGGGUGUCAUGGAUAUUGUUUGGCCUUGCCGGCCAUUGUUUUGUUGUACAGAAGUAUCGGCGGCCUCGUUGGCUUGCAUUGUGAUACGCUACGUGUAUAUAUAAAUAUGUUUUGGGAUGUUUCGAGUUACAGGUCGACUUUGGUAUUUUAUUUACAGCUUUCAGACUUAGUUAAAUAAACCCUAUUGAAUGCCAUGUUUGAGUACAGGUAACAUAAGUUGGGUUAUCGGGCAGGUUAAGCUCGGUCACUCGUCAUGGCCCUAGGUUGAGUCGUGACAAAAUCUCAAAAGCUACAAAGAAACAUGUUGAUGCUAAGUACAUUUGUGGUCUUCUCAACAUGAUUGUACUAGCUAAGUUGUCAAGUAUAAAUCUAGAAAGAGUUCUUAACUUAAUUAUCUCUAGAUGUGGAUAGUGAAAGAUUGGUGUAUAGUGAAAUGGGAUGAGAUAAAUAAGCAGUAGGUAGUUAGUUGCACAUAUUAUAUCCUGUGCCAAAUGUACGCUUUAGUUUGACUAUUUGCUAGUGUCAUUUUUCUUGAGCUUAACUAGACUUCCUAAUGUACUGGGGUGCUGCUAUGUGAGAGCCUAAAUUACUUGUUUUGGGCGUCCUUUUGUCUAGAAACAGUCACCAAUAUAUAUAUAUAUAUAUAUAUAUAUAUAUAUAUAUAUAUAUAUAUAUAUAUAUUUUAAAAAGUGUUAGUUUGCGCUUUGGCUCUAAGUUCCCAGUUAUAUGUGCUUAAUUGGCUAUCUCUGUAUUUUUCUUUUAAGUUUGGAAACAAAUAUGAAUUGGUUUAUAUGCCUAUGUACUCACAUGAAUGAAAUAUGGAUAAGAGAGGAUCUAGUGACUGCUUUUGUUGCUUUUAUAUGUCCAUGAGUAUGAAUAAUGAACUUAUGAGGCAUGUUGAACUUGUUAAGGGUUCGCAAGAAUUCUUGGCUAUUUAAGCUAGCACAUUUCUGACUUGAAGAGUUCCUUUAAACGUUCUGUUAAAUCACUUAAGAAACUUAGCUAAGUUCUUCAUGUUUUAAUGACUAAAAGUUGCAUACUCUUAAAAAAAUUUCACCUGCUUGUUGUAACAGCUUUGUUGCAUUCUAGCUAUGCCUUAAUAUCACUAAAAUAAAUCAGUUUUGAAUAGCCUUGUGGGUUUGGAAAAGUCACUGUUCUGAUUGGAGAAAAAAGAAAAUUUAUCAUUUUUGGCUGAACCAAAAGUUACUGAUACGUGAAGAUUAAAUCUGCCAAACAUGUAAUUGUUUGAAUAGCUUCGUCGCUCGUCCAAAUUCUUCUUUGAAGUGUUUACGUGAAUCCAUUACUGCCAUUUUAGUUAAAAUCUGCUCGUAAAAUAAACAAAAGGCUAUUUUUUUUAUUGCUUCUGAUUUCCUUUUUAAAAAAGCUACUGGUUUUUUUUUCUUCAUUAGAAGGCUACUGUUUCGAUAAAAAAAAAAAAUACUACGUGUUUGAUCCAAGACCUAUUUGGUUUAUCUGUUUCGCCUUUCUACUCGUGUUUAACUUUUAGAAACCAUGACUAUAGACUCUCUCUAUUUUUUUUUUUAGAGAAGAAAUUAUGUAAUUCUUUGAAACCUUGAGAUUGUGAACCUGAAUAGGUGUCCAGAGAUUUAUUUUAGCUAUCUUUUAUCGAAACGCGUCAUAGGUCGAUUAAGUUCUAACUGAAUCAAGGAGAACUAGAUCUCCGCUUAAUUAGAAGGAUUUGGAAAAGAGUCAUGCUUUAUUUGAACCUAUAUUGAAGGACUAGUUGUUGGUAAAAAAUAAUGUGUUUUCUUAUCCUCCAUGACAUACUCAAGGUUUGUUUGUGAAAAGGGAGAUACAGUAAUAGGAAAAUAGCUUGGCCUUAGCAGCUAGAAAGGCAAACCUGACUUGGUUUACCAGAAACUAUGACCUUAGGACCUGUGCAUUUUAAAAGUAUGUUUGGUAAAAGUUCCUGAAUUAUAAAGAAUCACUUCCAUGCUUGAAAAUGAUCUCCUUCCUCUUAGAAUGCUUGUGGGAACCGAUACUGUAGUAAAGUAUCUUAUUAUUCUUAUGACUUGUCUGAAUGAAUUUUGAAGUACCAUAGCCUAGCAUAACAAUUAACUACUCUUUUAUUCACUAAAAUGUUUGGUUUGGUCAGAAUUGUUUGAACUCAUGUGGUUGCCUAUAAUGGUUCUGUUAGUAAGAGACGUACUACACACAAAGGUGUGAAAAUUGUUCAACUUUUAAAUACUGUAGAGCUUAGGUUCGUCAUAAAAUGCGGAUAAGUCAGAUCAUGGUGUGUUUGCUUUAUUUUGACACAUUUACUUAAGUCAGGUUGAUCUGUUUCCAAAGUUGGCUGAAUAUUUGGUGCUAAAUCUAGUAAAUUAUUUAUUCUUGAUGGCACGUUUCACUCAUUCGAUUUUGGCGUUAUUAAGAUCAAUUAAGGGUAUCACUAAUUCUUAUCUUUAUCUUUUUUUUUCAUGAGCAACUUUGGGAGCAUUUGGAGUUAUGGCAACUCCGGAUUCGGUCCAGAUCAGAGAGAAACUAGUAGCAGCAGUUCUGCUCGUGCCUAGCUGUCCCCGAUUUCCGCUCGUGUACAGUUCAUUUUCAUAAUUUUGAGGAAUUACCUAGUGUGGCAAGGAAGUUAAUCAACAUGGACAAAGCUCAAGUUCCUAACUUGAGAAUCAGAUGCACAAGGGACAAAAGGCCUUGAUACAAUAAUUGCAACAACCGACUAGCAGUGCAGCACAACAACAACAACAGCUUGAACAACUAUGCAGGCUGUGCAGCAGAUCAUCAACUAUUUGAGCAGCUUUGCAACUUGCAAGACUUACAGGGUGGCAUGGCAUUACUGUUGCAGCUGAUCAUACGACAACUUAAGCAAAUUUGCAGUCUUCAAGAGUAGCAGAUUUUUUCCAGAAUGCCUAAGAUUCAUAUCAUCUCUUGUACAUUAGUUGAUAGAUUUCACAUAGGGUGGUAUUAGUGUGUUUCAUGCUCAUUCCCUAUGUGAAGGAUGCUAACUAAUAUAUGAGUGUGUUCUUGCUUGGCAUUUCCUCUUCUGAGUGCAACUUGACAAUCUUAGAAGCCUGAUGAACUACAUAUAGAUUCUAGAAGAAAAUUCACAGACUGAAAUCCAUACACCUGGUGAGAGCUUUGAGGUGUGAAUAUUGGAGGAAAGUCAAGUAUCCAGGAUUUUCUAGUUGAUUAGCUUGGUUUGAUUGUUAUUUCUGCAUGUUUUGAUCUUUUUAUUUUUUCCUUUCUUUUUGAUUUUGUACAGACACUUUUGUUUUGA